GUUGCCGUUGCAAUACACUAAUUAGGUGCGAUGUACCUGUCGCUUUCCUUAACUGCAGCAGUGUGCAAUUUUGUUGCAGAAAGGUGUCUUGAAUGAGAGUGACCUUUUGGAAAAUCGGUUGUGGUUACCAGAGCCGCAGAUGCACGCCAAUCGUACCUUACAGCCGACAAAGCAAUUUUUGGCUAGAUUGAAGAUGCACAUAAGAAUAACGAAACGCCGGAAAAAUUCCCUCGCGGAAAUAAUAAGCAGCAUCCAGCAUCUGCCCGUUGAAAUUAUGGCAGAAAUAUUCGGCUGUCAGGAGACGCGCAGUCACAGCGUUCUUCGUAGCGUAUGCAGCAGCUGGAAUAUACUUCUCACAUCGCUGCCGGUUGUAAACCGCUUGCUGUGUUUCCGCAGCUCAUUUGGUUAUGCGGACGCGGCGUGCCUGUUGGCUUGUUGGAGACCGAUGAUCGUGUUCACUCGCUACACAGUUAUCGGUUACCCGAACGGCAGAAGAACAAUCGAUUGACGGUUUUUACAGCAUGUUAUGAUCGCCGGGAAUUAUCCCCGUCCCACUACCAUACUGCUGUCUAAUAUUUGUAGGAAACUGUAUGAGCACAAUCCAUCCAUGAAAACUGUUCGCUUGCAACCCAGAGGAUUAAUGAUGGCAUUCUUUACGGAGUUAUCAACGCUUGCGUCGGUGGGAAAGACGUUGGGUAUCAGAAACUGCAGCGUCAGCGACGAGUACUACAGCAACAACGAAGGAAUGCUGGAGACGUUCACACCAGGAUGUGACAGAUAACAGCUGUCCGACGCUGACGGUCGAGGAGCUCCAUUCCUGAUCCGACUGGACUAUGUGCUGGCGGCUGUUUGAUACAAGAACGGUGGACGCAGCAAGUUUCCAUCACCAAAGCCGGCUUAUUCCCACCGUACUGCAUGAAUUUCAACGGAUAGAUCCACGUGCUGGAAAUUCUUAUGACCAGGUAUCUUGGGAACAAUGGAAAAUGAUUGAUCUGGAUUUGGCGAGGCUGAGCAGGCUUACUUUGUUUGCUUUACGCACUGUACAGUU